rnacentral:rRNA from 1 species
UGGGGAAUUUUGGACAAUGGGCGAAAGCCUGAUCCAGCAAUGCCGCGUGUGUGAAGAAGGCCUUCGGGUUGUAAAGCACUUUUGUCCGGAAAGAAAUCCUUGGCUCUAAUACAGUCGGGGGAUGACGGUACCGGAAGAAUAAGCACCGGCUAACUACGUGCCAGCAGCCGCGGUAAUACGUAGGGUGCAAGCGUUAAUCGGAAUUACUGGGCGUAAAGCGUGCGCAGGCGGUUGCUAAGACCGAUGUGAAAUCCCCGGGCUCAACCUGGGAACUGCAUUGGUGACUGGCAGGCUAGAGUAUGGCAGAGGGGGGUAGAAUUCCACGUGUAGCAGUGAAAUGCGUAGAGAUGUGGAGGAAUACCGAUGGCGAAGGCAGCCCCCUGGGCCAAUACUGACGCUCAUGCACGAAAGCGUGGGGAGCAAACAGGAUUAGAUACCCUGGUAGUCCACGCCCUAAAACGAUGUCAACUAGUUGUUGGGGAUUCAUUUCCUUAGUAACGUAGCUAACGCGUGAAGUUGACCGCCUGGGGAGUACGGUCGCAAGAUUAAAACUUAAAGGAAUUG